GCAUGUAACACUUAACGCAGACCAUCAGAGAUUUGGACGGCGAGGAUCUUUCUGAUGAAAAUGUCCCCACCUAAAUGGGCUUACCUGAAUCACACAAAUACAAAAUUUCUCAUUUAAUCAUUUCUACGAAGAAAAAGGGAAACCAGAGAAGGUUCUCUGCGAUGGCGUUCUCUGCAAUUACUACGCACUGCCCCUCUCUUCUUCGUCUGCCGACGAACCUCCCUGUAACCUCUUCACCUCCUAAUUCAAUUUCGUUUCGAUUUUCAAAGAAUAAUCUCAGCCGUAGAAAACCCCUUUUAAUUCGAUCAACUUCAACUUCGGCUGCACCGAAAACUGAGGGGCUUGCACCUGCAAUUUCACUUACGGA